GUGAGGAAUAUUGCGCAAUGGAGGCAACUCUGACGCAGCCAUGCCGCGUGCAGGAAGAAGGCGCUACGCGUUGUAAACUGCUUUUAACCGGGAAGAAACCCCAGGACGUGUCCUGGGUUGACGGUACCGGAGGAAUAAGCACCGGCUAACUUCGUGCCAGCAGCCGCGGUAAUACGAAGGGUGCAAGCGUUAUCCGGAUUCAUUGGGUUUAAAGGGUGCGUAGGCGGAGCGUUAAGUCAGUGGUGAAAUCCAGCAGCUUAACUGUAGACUUGCCAUUGAUACUGGCGCUCUUGAGUGCGCUUGAAGUGGGCGGAAUGUGCCGUGUAGCGGUUAAAUGCUUAGAUAUGGCACAGAACACCAAUUGCGAAGGCAGCUCACUAAGGCGAUACUGACGCUGAGACACGAAAGCGUGGGGAUCGAACAGGAUUAGAAACCCGGGUAGUCC
rnacentral:rRNA from 1 species